rnacentral:rRNA from 1 species
UACGUAGGUGGCAAGCGUUAUCCGGAAUUAUUGGGCGUAAAGCGCGCGUAGGCGGUUUUUUAAGUCUGAUGUGAAAGCCCACGGCUCAACCGUGGAGGGUCAUUGGAAACUGGAAAACUUGAGUGCAGAAGAGGAAAGUGGAAUUCCAUGUGUAGCGGUGAAAUGCGCAGAGAUAUGGAGGAACACCAGUGGCGAAGGCGACUUUCUGGUCUGUAACUGACGCNUGAUGUGCGAAAGCGUGGGGAUCAAACAGGAUUAGAUAC